rnacentral:rRNA from 1 species
CUUACUAACCCCGGAGGCUUAGCGAAAGCGAGAGAGCGUGUUGGAGGGCACCGGAUUUGGAGAGGUGUCUCGGCGAAGUCGUUCGCGGGUCGGGGUUCGCCCCUUCCUUGCGGCCUCCGAGCCGUGCCCGAUCCUGCUGGCGCGACGAGUGCUCGUACACUUUCCGUCGGCCGCCCCGCGUUCGUUGUCAUCGCCGUAGUCGUCGGAUUUUCCUCCUCGCGGGGGAGAUGAUGUUUGUGGCUGCGGCGGACGUGCGUCCGGGUUGUUGUUCGGCGGCGUCACCUUCCUCCUUCCGCCCACCGGUGAGAUCCCGCGGCUUGAACCAGCACACUUUUGUUCGUCGAGUUUAGGCACUGCACGCGGGCGCAUCACCCCCGGGUCGGAUUUCCGAGUACGACUCGGCCGACUCUGGCGUAGCGAGCGACCAGGGACCCGAAAGAUGGCGAUCCACGCCCGGUCGGGAUGAAGCCAGAGGAAACUCUGGUGGAAGUCCGAAGCGCCUCUGACGUGCAAAUCGAUCGUCGAAACCGGGUGUAGGGGCGAAA